AGCAGCCGCGGUAAUUCCAGCUCCAAUAGCGUAUAUUAAAGUUGUUGCAGUUAAAAAGCUCGUAGUUGAAUUUCGGGGUUAGUAGGUUGGUCAUGCCUCUGGUAUGUACUGGUCUCACUGAUUCCUCCUUCCUGAUGAGCCGUAAUGCCAUUAAUUUGGUGUUGCGGGGAAUUUGGACUGUUACUUUGAAAAAAUUGAGUGUUUAAAGCAAGCUAACGCUUGAAUACAUUAGCAUGGAAUAAUGAAAUAGGACGUUCGAUCCUAUUUUGUGGUUUCUAGGAUUGACGUAAUGAUUAAUAGGGAUAGUUGGGGGCAUUAGUAUUCAAUUGUCAGAGGUGAAAUUCUUGGAUUUAUUGAAGACUAACUACUGCGAAAGCAUUUGCCAAGGAUGUUUUCAUUAAUCAAGACGAAGUUAGAGGAUCGAAGACGAUCAGAUACCGUCGUAGUCUUAACCAUAAACUAUGCCGACUAGGGAUCGGGAUGAUGUUAAUUUUUAANGUACUCAUUCGGCUCCUUAAAC
rnacentral:rRNA from 1 species